GAUGCACUAUAAAAGAAUUAUUUUUAGCAAAAAAAAAAUUAAAGGGUAAAUAACUUCAUUGGUACCAAAACUAUGGCUGUGUUUCUAAUUGGCACUAAUAUCUUAAAUUAUUUUUUUUGAUAUCAAAACUUUAAUUUUCAUUACAGGCGAUGAUACAUAUUGGGAAUUUGUUCAAUUUUUGUUAACAUGAAGGGUAGAGCUCUACAUCAGCAUUCUACUCAUCUUUCACGUCAUAUUUGACCUUAGAUAAAUUAGCCCGUGGUACUAAAUCUUUGCCACUUAAGGUCAUGUAAAUCAUAUUGAAAACCGGCCUAAUCCAAUAAUUGAUCCAAUUUGUCUUACUUAGACUGAUCUGAAUUAGAUUACUUUAAUGGUGAAUUUAGAUAUUCUCUAUUGCAAUUGUGUUAAAUUAAAAUUAUAUAAAAUCUAUUCAAACUCAAUUUAUAAAUAGUUUUUCCAUUUUGAGUUGCUUUGAUAUAAUUCAUUACAGAUUCAAGUGGUUUUGUUUUAUAUUAUUAUCAGUUCGGGUUGUUAGCUUUUUAUAAAAAUUGAGGUUUAUGGAGUUUGAAUUUUGGAUAACAUUUUUGCUGCAAACAAAAUAUUAUAACUGCAAUUACGAUCCAUCUUUGCUAUUCCAAAAAAGAAGAAAAAAAAAAAAAAACAUUUACAUCUUUGAUGACCUUCUGCCAAACUUAAAACCUGAGAGCCUCUGAAAAAAGAAAGCAUCUAAAAGUCCCUAAUAUUGUUCUCUGUUAUAGAUUUCACAUUGAACAAAUUGAAAAAAAAAAAAAAGAAGGAAGAAAAACAGAGAGAAUCUCCACCCUAAGGGAUGAUAGUAAAGAACUCAAAAUGGGAUCAAGGAAAGAGAGUAAUUCAUAGCAGCAGCUACAGUAGUGCUCCCGCCUAGAAACCAACAACUGAGGCCAAUUACAAAAGAGCAACUUGGCCAUGUGAUGCAAGUAAACACCGAUGCUUUCCGUCGUGCAGAGUUGAAUUACAAAGAAUAUUUUACAUUUUUUCUUAUUACUGCUGAAAGGACACAGUCGGAUAUAUUUUAGUAUAAAUAUGAUGCCUUAGAUGGAGAGGCUUCUCAUCCCUUCCCUUGUUUUACAUUCUUGAGUUUGUAGAGGCAGAAGAGCGAGUGAGAGAAAAAUGGUGAGGAAAGAAAAGUUGUUUAUUGCUUUGACAUGGUUCCUAGUAGUGAUGUCCGUUGCCAUAUGUGCUAAUGCAACAGCAGGCCCUCGUCUGCAGGCAUCCGAUGAGCACAUGGAACUGCCAGCAGGUUGUCGCUGCUGCUAUUUCAUUGGACAGAUUCCAUACAUGCGUUGUGGGAUGGUAUGCUGUCAGGAUGGCUGUUGCGGCUAAUCAAUGGAGGUUUUUUCAUGCUACUAAGCAGAAUAAAGUUUGGGUUGCUGAUGAAAUAAUAUGAGAAAUAUUUGAAUUGUCAGGAGCUCCUUUUUUAUGAUUCUUUACCUUUUUCCUUGGAUAAGAAGGUUUCUUUAUCAGUUGUACUUUCGUAUUGUUAAUCAAUAAUACUGCAAUUAUCUUAA